rnacentral:rRNA from 1 species
AUACGGGGGGGGCUAGCGUUGUCCGGAAUUAUUGGGCGUAAAGGGCGCGUAGGCGGAAUGGUAAGUCAGUGGUGAAAAUCCAGGGCUCAACCCUGGACCUGCCUUUGAUACUGCCAUUCUAGAGUGCGAGAGAGGAAAGUGGAAUUCCCGGUGUAGCGGUGAAAUGCGUAGAUAUCGGGAAGAACACCGGUAGCGAAGGCGGCUUUCUGGCUCGCAACUGACGCUGAGGCGCGAAAGCGUGGGGAGCAAACAGGAUUAGAAACCCCAGUAGUCC